ACUCUGCCAUUUCAAUUUUCAACUAAACUUAUCCAAAGUCUUUGUUUUGGUUAAUGGGCCAUUCUCUGAUCUCCUCUCUCUCUCUCCCUCUCUCUCCUUUUCCCAAAUAAAAACAAUUCUGAUCUGGAGAAAGUUAAAAAUAAUUAUUAUCUUUCCAAGUUUUCUUUUCUCGGAAUGAAAAUGGAAAGUGAACGCCUUUUACACAAACUCAUUGCAAGAAUUUUGAUGCUUUGUAGUAUUAUUUUAUCAAUCAAUCGGAAAACAAUUUUCAUAUUCCCACAAUUUGGUCUCAAUCACCCAAACAAAGAUAUAUAUUAUAUCCUCUCAGUCUCAUCUCUACUGUCGCUUCACUUCCUUCCCCCAUCAACCACUCCACAAUGGAGAGGCAUCCGGACAAAGCAUCUCCCCUGGUUUUUGCAGUUAAUCAACAGAGAUUUGAGCUCUCCUCUGUAGACCCCUCCACUACUUUGCUCCAAUUCCUCCGCCAACAUACUUCUUUCAAGAGUGUCAAGCUUAGCUGUGGUGAAGGCGGUUGUGGUGCUUGUGUUGUGCUAUUGUCCAAAUACGAUCCUGUGUUAGACAAGGUCGAAGAUUUUACAGUAAGUUCAUGCCUCACGUUGCUUUGUAGCAUACACGGGUGUUCAGUUACAACCAGUGAAGGUAUUGGAAAUAGCAGGGAUGGUUUCCACUCGAUUCAUCAAAGGUUUGCUGGCUUCCAUGCUUCUCAGUGCGGCUUUUGUACUCCAGGAAUGUGUGUCUCACUUUUUUCUGCUCUUGUCAAUGCUGAAAAGACCAAUCGACCCGAGCCCUUAUCAGGAUUCUCAAAGCUGACUGUUUCUGAAGCUGAAAAGGCCAUUUCUGGACACCUCUGCCGUUGUACAGGAUAUAGGUCAAUUGCUGACGCCUGUAAGAGUUUUGCGGCUGAUGUCGAUAUGGAGGAUUUAGGGUUGAACUCAUUCUGGCACAAGCAAGUGAACUUGAGUAAAUUACCACUUUAUACUCCAAGUAAUAGCCUGCUCUCAUUUCCAGAAUUUUUAAAAAAGGAGCUUAGGCCUGUAUCUUUUAUGGACUCUAAGGGAUGCUUCUGGUUAAAUCCGGUUAACAUCAAGGAUGUAAACAGAUUAUUAGAAUGUAAUGAGGCUAGCAACACAAGUAAAACGAAGUUCAUUGUUGGCAACACAGAAGUGGGAUAUUACAAAGAAUUUGAACAAGUUGAGAGAUAUAUUAAUCUUAAACACAUUCCUGAGCUGUCAGUUAUCAGAAUGGAUUCAACAGGAAUAGAGAUUGGUGCAACAGUGACAAUUACAAAAGCUAUUGAGGCUUUGAAAAAUAAUAACCAUAAAUCCUCUUCAAUAGGUGAGGUGGUGUUCUAUAAAAUAGCGGUCCAUAUGGAGAAAAUUGCUUCUGGGUUUGUACGAAAUACUGCAAGCAUCGGAGGAAAUUUAAUGAUGGCGCAAAGAAAACAGUUUCCUUCAGACAUUGCCACAAUACUUCUUGCUGCACGUUCUAUGAUACAUAUAUUGACUGGUUCCAGCGAAGAAGUGAUUAUGCUGGAUGAAUUUCUCAAGAGACCUCCAUUGGGUCCUAACUGUGUACUUUUAAGUGUUAAGAUCCCAAAUUUGGAUUCUCUUAGAGACAAUUAUUCAAGCGAUACUACUAUAUUUUUUGAUACUUUUAGAGCUUCCCCUCGGCCCCUUGGAAAUGCAAUGCCGUACCUAAAUGCUGCUUUCUUAGGUGCAAUCUCUCUGUGUAAAAAUUCCAAUGGUAUCAUAUUGAAUAGCUGUCACCUGGCUUUUGGAGCUUAUGGGACCAAAAAUGCAAUUAGAGCAAGAAAGGUUGAAAAUUUUCUAGCUGGAAAAAUUAUUGAUUAUAGUGUCAUAUAUGAUGCCGUCUCAUUGAUUCAAGCCACUAUAGUCCCUGAAAAGGGCACAUCUUUUCCAGCUUAUAGGACAAGCUUGGCAGUUGGCUUUCUUUUUGAGUUCUUAAGCUCCUUGGCUGAUGGAAAUGCUGCAAUAAAGAAUGAUUACCUAAAUGGAUGCAAGCAUACCUUGUCAACAUUACCUUACAAUGAAUUUAGUUCAAACCACGGUGAUUUCGGUUAUAACAAAGUAGAAACUCUACUAUCAUCUGGAAAGCAGACAAUUGAAUUAAGUUCAGAAUAUCAUCCUGUUGGAGAUGUGAUUACAAAAUCUGGAGCUGCUAUCCAAGCUUCAGGUGAGGCAAUCUUUGUGGAUGAUAUUCCGUCACCAACAAAUUGCGUACAUGGAGCAUUCAUAUAUAGCAGAAAGCCUUUGGCACGGGUGAAGGGACUAAAUCUUUCUCUUGAACCUCAACCAGAGGGAGUUAUCGCUGUUAUUUCCACUAAAGAUAUUCCUGUGGGUGGACAUAAUGUUGGAGCUAGAACUAUAUUUGGUGAUGAACUUCUAUUUGCAGAUAAGUUGACUGAGUGUGUUGGUCAACCAAUUGCUUUUGUGGUAGCAAAUACGCAGAAACAGGCAGAUACAGCUGCAGACUUUGCAGUGGUGGAUUAUGACACAGAUAAUUUGGAAGCACCUAUUCUUUCGGUAGAAAAUGCUCUUGAAAGGUCAAGCUUCUUUGAGGUCCCUUCAUUUCUGUGUCCAGAACAGAUUGGAGAUUCGUCAAAAGGAAUGGCUGAAGCAGAUCAGCAUAUUAAGGCUGCUCAGAUCAAACUUGGGUCACAAUACUAUUUUUAUAUGGAGACACAUACUGCACUUGCCAUUCCAGAUGAAGAUAACUGCAUGGUAGUCUAUAGUUCAAGUCAAUGGCCUGCUAAUGCGCAUUCUGUUAUUGCAAAAUGCCUUGGUGUUCCUGAACACAAUGUUCGUGUAAUUACUAGGAGGGUUGGAGGAGGCUUUGGUGGAAAGGCCAUAAAAUCUAUGGUUGUUGCUACGGCAUGUGCACUUGCAGCUCACAAGUUACGCCGUCCAGUCAGGAUUUAUCUUAACCGGAAGACUGACAUGAUAAUGGCAGGAGGGAGACAUCCAAUGAAAGUUACUUACAAUGUGGGGUUUAAAUCUAAUGGUAAAAUUACAGCAUUGGAAUUAGAUAUAUUGGUUGAUGCAGGGAUGAGUUGUGAUAUAAGUCCAGCGAUGCCACUCAACAUUAUCAAUACACUUAGGAAGUAUGAUUGGGGUGCUUUAUCUUUUGACAUAAAAGUAUGCAAAACAAACCACACAAGCAAAUCUUCAAUGCGAGCCCCUGGAGAGGUACAAGGAUCCUUUAUUGCUGAGGCAGUAAUUGAACAUGUAGCAUCUACCCUUUGCAUGGAUGUGGAUACUGUCCGAAAAGUAAAUAUGCAUACAUUUGACAGCCUCAACUUAUUCUUCAAGGAUGCAGGUGAACCUCAAGAGUACACAUUACCUUCAAUAUGGGAUAGGUUAGCCACAUCUUCAAACUUAAAACAAAGGACUGAAAUGGUAGAUAAAUUUAAUAGCUAUAAUAGAUGGAAAAAGAGAGGCCUUUCUCGAAUUCCUGUCACGCAUGAGGUUACUUUGAGACCAACCCCAGGUAAAGUGAGCAUCCUAACUGAUGCUUCUGUUGUCGUGGAAGUUGGAGGUAUUGAACUUGGCCAGGGGCUAUGGACAAAGGUAAGACAGAUGGCUGCGUAUGCCCUUAGCUCAAUUGAAUGUGAAGGAACCAGUGACCUCUUGGAAAAGGUGAGAGUGGUUCAAGCUGAUACCAUCAAUUUAAUACAAGGAGGGUGUACAGCUGGGAGUACUACUUCCGAAUCAAGCUGUGAAGCAGUAAGACUUUGCUGCAAUAUAUUGGUGGAGAGACUAACGCCUCUAAAAAAAAGGCUGGAGGAGAAGAUGGGUUCAAUCAAAUGGGAUGUGCUCAUAAGUCAGGCAAACUUGCAAGCAGUGAAUUUAUCAGUUAACUCUAUGUAUGUUCCUGACUUUGUUUCAAUGAGAUACUUAAAUUAUGGAGCUGCUGUGAGUGAGGUGGAGGUUGAUCUUCUCACAGGAGAAACUACGAUUUUGCGGUCAGAUAUUAUCUAUGAUUGUGGGCAGAGUCUCAACCCUGCAGUGGAUUUGGGACAGGUUGAAGGAGCCUUUGUUCAAGGAAUUGGAUUUUUUAUGUCAGAAGAAUACCUAACAGAUCUUGAUGGACUAGUGAUUACUGACAGCACAUGGACUUACAAAAUUCCUACAAUUGAUACCAUACCGAAACAGUUCAACGUUGAAAUAUUGAACUCUGGACAUCAUAAAAAACGUAUUCUCUCUUCAAAAGCUUCAGGAGAACCGCCAUUGCUUCUAGCUGCAUCAGUUCACUGUGCAACACGAGCGGCUAUUAAAGAGGCACGAAAACAAAUAUGUACAUGGCGGCAUCAACAUGAGUUUGAUCACUCGUUUCAAUUAGAGGUUCCCGCUACCAUGCCUGUUGUUAAAGAGUUGUGUGGGCUGGAUUGUGUGGAAAGUUUCCUGAAAUGGAUCAAUGAAUCGAGAAGCACUAGGAUCUGACGACUUGGCCUCCCGAAACACAGGUAAGCAAAAGAUAUGAUGGACCUUGAGUCAAUGCGUAUGGCUUAUCUCAUUGAUGCACCACAUACGUAAGAUUCUCUUUCAAUGUUUGAGAUAGAACUAGAAGAUUGUUUCUGGCUGCUUAACUUUCUGUUCUUUUGGUAAGAAUUGACUACUACAUUUUUUUAACCAAAAGAAGAAGCACGUUUAGUUGGAUAAAUUUAGGAUUCAAAAGAGAGGAAGAUAAGAGUUGAAUUCCAGGUGCUAGAUAACCAAGGUUAUAAAAUGUGUCUCCAGUUGUACAAGCUCAAAUUAAGUACCGGUUCGUCCAAAUCUGCUUUUUUGAAAUUAACUAAGGGCUUGUUUGGAUUGAACAUAGAAAAAAAAAUGUUUUUCAAAAAUUCAUUUUCAUUUAAACACUUUCGGUAAAAAUUGUUUAAAAUAAAAACACUCAUUUGUUUGGCAACUUUUUCUCAAAAUUGUUUUUAUAUUUAAGCUUGGUUUGAUUUGUUAUAUACUACAAGUAUUUUUAGUAAUGUCAAAUUACUAUAAAGGACGACUAUAUAAUUUAAAAUAGUGGUUGUCGGGGUUGGUCAUCUGGGAUGAUGGUUGCCGGAGGUGGUCGUCAUUGGUAAUGGUUGGAGUUGGGUGGCGUUGGUGGUGGCUGGUGUUGGGUGGUGGAGGCGGUGACCAGAGUUGGCUGGCGGGAGGCAGUGGUAGCUACGGAACAUAGUGCAUAGUGGAAGUGAGAUAGAUGACUUUUGGGAUGUUUUAAUAAAGGAUCGUAUAAUAAAUAUUGUUUAUUGCUGUGAGACAUAAUAAAAGCUGUUCAUUAUCUUAUUGCCACUGCGUUUAGAAUUAGAAAAACAACAUGAAUUUUACUUGGUUCCUUUCUUUUGAAUGCUCUAAAAUUUAAGUUUAAUUUGGUAGAAAUCGUAUAGUAUUCUUUGUGGAAAAUGAUAAUUUACUUAUGAGCUGGAUUAUGUACACUUUGCACAUUAAUUUGCACAAAUAUAUAUUACGUGUUGAGCUUCAUUUGUUGCUUCUAGACAAUGUUUAGCCACAACACUUGCUAUCCAUCGACUGUAAAAUGUUAUGCAAUACCAUUGUGGGAAAUAGGAGAAACUUUCUGCCACAUUAGUGAAGGAGUGUCUUGGAAGAGAAUGCCCAGGAGGCGCAAGAUAUCAGCACUCUAAUUUCAGAGGAGGGAGAGACGGCAACCAUCAUUUCCUCUCAUGAUUUUUUUUUUUUUUUGUGCACUUAGUUCCCUGUUUUGAUGCCUCAAGGUCUCCUGAAUUCGGUUCCUAAUGGCCUCAGCAUUCCCCUACGACCUGGCAAGGUCAUACUUGCUUGUCUUGAACUGCUUCUAAGAGUGAAGACUAUCCCACAAACCAACAUCAUCUUUUUAAUAUGCUUUGUCCUCACUCACAUGCUUUCUAGAAAGAUUCCCAGGAGGUCACCCAACAUAGAAUUGCUCUAAGCUAAGCACACUUGACUUUGAAAUUCUUAUGAAUGGGUCACCGGAAAGAAAGAUGCACCUUGUUGGUAUAGGUAAUAACUUUCAAUUCUUUUAAGCCUUUAUUAACAUACUUUCGUAUCUUCAGGAUCCUUCUCAUUCGGAUGUGAUCUCGGUUCAUUCAUGUACCUCUCCUAAAUUCAGGGUUGGAGCUUUCUGCUGAAUGAAGUUGGAGUAUUCAUUUGUUGGAUGGAUUCUAGAGGCUCUGAAUGGGUGGCCCUUCAAAGGAAAAGCAAAGCUCUUUCUUCUUUGGGGUAUUUGAAAGGGAAUGAAUCAAAGAAUGCUUUCUUUGCUUUCUUUUAUAACUAUGUACAACUCAUGUUCCCUUUGUUAGUACUUGCCGUAAAGAAGAGAUUUGACAGAGACAUGAAGGAAUGACACUUAUUUUAUAUGAAGUCACCUAAGUUUGGAGAGUUUGGGGCAUCAGUUUGAUUAGGGGAAUAUCUCAAAUACAACUCCAAUACUUGUAACGAAAUGAAUUAGAAUUUGAGGUGGAGUGGUUUCUAUGACGCUUGAAAUGUUUGUUAUACUUUAUUAGAACCAUGGUGCAGUUAUGAUCUCUUAGUGAUGAUGUGACGUUGGCCAUUUCACCAAGGACUGGUUCUUGUCUUGUAAUGGUGUAGUAAUGUUUUACUAUAAGGUUGGAUCCAA